rnacentral:rRNA from 1 species
UGGGGAAUAUUGCACAAUGGGCGCAAGCCUGAUGCAGCAACGCCGCGUGAACGAUGAAGGUCUUCGGAUCGUAAAGUUCUGUUGCAGGGGAAGAUAAUGACGGUACCCUGUGAGGAAGCCCCGGCUAUCUACGUGCCAGCAGCCGCGGUAAUACGUAGGGGGCUAGCGUUAUCCGGAUUUACUGGGCGUAAAGGGUGCGUAGGUGGUCCUUCAAGUCGGUGGUUAAAGGCUACGGCUCAACCGUAGUAAGCCGCCGAAACUGGAGGACUUGAGUGCAGGAGAGGAAAGUGGAAUUCCCAGUGUAGCGGUGAAAUGCGUAGAUAUUGGGAGGAACACCAGUAGCGAAGGCGGCUUUCUGGACUGCAACUGACACUGAGGCACGAAAGCGUGGGUAGCAAACAGG